CGGCAACAGCUCAAAUUUGAAAUCUGGCCCUAGGCCCGAGUUGUAAUUUGCAGAGGAUGCUUUUGGUGAGGUGCCUUCCGAGUUCCCUGGAACGGGACGCCAUAGAGGGUGAGAGCCCCGUCUGGUCG
rnacentral:rRNA from 1 species